AAUUAUUGAGCACUUACCAUGUGCCCAUUGUAAGCUUUUUAUAAAAAUGGCUUAUAUGAACUAAUUAUUAUUUCCAUUUCACAGGUGGGAAAACUGAAACCUAGAAAGUUUAAUUAACAUGUUCCAAGUCACAAAGCAAGUAAAAAAGGCGGAGGCAGGAUUUGAAUUCACUUUUGCCUGGUCUCAAAGUCCAUAACCCUAAGCCCUCUGCUGGAAGACCUCUAGAAGGAAAUAGAAAAGCACACAAAAGCACAUGUUGACAGACCAUUCCAAGGGCCAGAGAACUGAAAUUGUUCAUUGUUAUGCAAUUUCAACCAGCCACGAGACCCUGGCACGCCCAGAAAGGUUACACCUGCAAGAUGUAAACACUUCUUUCCUGAAUUAGUGUGCCUUCUCACUAUGGUGAGCUCAAAAGUAAUAGCUUUUCCAGUCACGACAUUUGCAAUUUGGCUGGAGAAUGUGAACGGCCCUUCCUGGACUACAAGCUCAACAGCUGUUCACAUUUACACAGUAGGUGAAAAUUUAUAUUUAAAAAAUAGUGGCUCAUAAAGAAAGAACAUGGAACAAUGACAACUGCAAAAAAAAAAGGAAUAAUUAUAUUCAUGAAAAAUGAACUGAGGAAAGGCUGAGCACUAAGUGCACGAAGGAGGACAGAGAGGACUCCAGGUGGCUUCUCCAGCUGUCAUUGCCUUGCUGUUCUCUGGACUUCAUGGCCUUGGAAGAAGUACGGCUGCUCUGGUGUGCCAGGAACAUGCAGGCCUUUUGGAAGAGUUCGUCAUCAGCAUUCCUUUCAAUCACAACAUAUCUUCCUCCCCAGAAGAGUUCUGGAAGAAGAGGAGAAAGAAAAACUGGAAAAAGAGACUGGCUCAUAAAAAUAGUGGCCAUUGUACAGAUUAGGAAAAAUAAGUUGCUUUAAAAUCACUGUUAUUGGCAACCAAAUAAAUAUAUAGUACAAUCACUUUGUGAUGUUUUC
rnacentral:lncRNA from 1 species